UAAGGAAUAUUGGUCAAUGGGCGCAAGCCUGAACCAGCCAUGCCGCGUGCAGGAUGACAGCCCUACGGGUUGUAAACUGCUUUUGUACGGGAAAAAACCUCCGGUCGUGAAUCGGAGCUGAUGGUACCGUAAGAAUAAGCAUCGGCUAACUCCGUGCCAGCAGCCGCGGUAAUACGGAGGAUGCAAGCGUUAUCCGGAUUCAUUGGGUUUAAAGGGUGCGCAGGCGGAAUGGUAAGUCAGUGGUGAAAUCCUACGGCUUAACUGUAGAAUUGCCAUUGAUACUGUCGUUCUUGAGUAUAGUUGAAGUGGGCGGAAUGUGUCAUGUAGCGGUGAAAUGCUUAGAUAUGACACAGAACACCGAUCGCGAAGGCAGCUCGCUAAACUAUCACUGACGCUCAUG
rnacentral:rRNA from 1 species